CUAACCUCCAGAAUGGGCCCAUAUAUGCCAGGGUUAUCCAGAAGCGAGUCCCCAAUGCCUACGACAAGACAGCCUUGGCUUUGGAGGUCGGUGAGCUGGUAAAGGUUACGAAGAUUAAUGUGAGUGGUCAGUGGGAAGGGGAGUGUAAUGGCAAACGAGGUCACUUCCCAUUCACACAUGUCCGUCUGCUGGAUCAACAGAAUCCCGAUGAGGACUUCAGCUGAGUAUAGUUCAACAGUUUUGCUGACAGAUGGGAACAAUCUUUUUUUUUUUUUUCCAACUGCCAUCUAUACAAUUUUCUUACAGAUGUCAAAAGCAGUCUAGUUUAUAUAAGCAUUCUGUUACCUGUGAUAUUUUUUAGACUGAACUGCUCCAUUCCUAGUCUUAAUUACCAUAUUCAGGGUACGAACUGGAGGGCUUGUGUGUUAGCUUCUGAAUUGGCAAUUGGAGGCGGUAGUGGUCGUGCCUGUGUGUAUCAGAAGGGAUAGGUAUCUUGCCUCCUUUCUCUCAGGCAGUGCAAAUCACCCUGUGGAAAACCGAUGGACAGGAAGGAGUGUUACACACUGCUUACCCUGAUUUAUUCAGUGGUUUUGUUUUCAUUCUGGAACCAUACUAUCAAAUGGCGACAGACUGUUCCGUUCCACCCCCGUGAAGUAAUCAUGCACCGUGUGAAUAGUAUCAAGCAGGAUUGCUUUCAUUGUAUGGAGCAUGACCAGCGUGUGACUCAUUCUGACAUUUCAGAUCCUAAGAAUUCUAAGAACACUACUAGAAGCAUUUGUUCCCUCCUAGUCAAUGCUUCAUACUUUUUCUUGGGAUUCUUUUAGCCCUUGACAUUCUUGUCCCCCAAACCUGUAAGUAGGUGAAUUCCUAAGAUAAGUGUGUAUUUUCAUUCCAGGUGAAAAGCAGGAUGUACCGAGCACUUUAUUCAGUGCAUAGCUUUAAGCCAGUGUUGGAUUCACUAAGUGGACAGCCAGUCUCCCAGCUCUCUGCCUUCCCCAAAAGGGUCGUAGUAGGUCACCCUUCUACAGCAGCUAACUAGAGUCCUAACUAAUGGGAUCCAGCAGGGCCAUUUCUCCAGAGGGCCAGUAUCCUAUUAGGAGACUCUUGGAAUUCUUAGGUUCUACUCAAGAGUGGAAGGACCAAUCACCUCUGAUAUUCUGUGGAAGGUUUUGGGGUCAAAUUCUGCCCUCUGCAUUCUGUGCAACUUGUAUAAAAGUCAAGUUAGUAUUACAUGAAUUUGGGGUAGGGUUAGUGCUUUGAAAAAAUGUUGAACCGGCUGGGCGCGGUGGCUCACGUCUGUAAUCCCAGCACUUUGGGAGGCCGAGGCGGGUGGAUCAUGAGGUCAGGAGUUCGAGACCAGCCUGGCCAACAUAGUGAAACCCCAUCUCUGCUAAAGAUA
rnacentral:lncRNA from 1 species